CCAAAGGCUCUUUUCAGAGCCACCCACAUAAUCGAAAAAGGGUUU
rfam:Felis catus isolate Cinnamon breed Abyssinian chromosome A1, whole genome shotgun sequence.